UCUCAGAAGGAAGUUCAGCAAAGCUGCCUAGAAGAGGAGGUAGUAGGUACAAGUUGAAGUAUCAAUAGAUUAUAUGAAUGAAGAAAGGGUAAAUGAGCAUCCAGUCAGAAGAAAAAUAAUCUGCAGAUCCUGGGAACAAUUGAGGAGGAGUGUUUGUAGAACUGCACAUAAACCUGGUCGUCUAUAACCUGAGGUGGGUGGUGGCUGACAUCAUUAGGACAGUACUGUAGAGCUUGGAAAGAGGUUGUCAAAAAGGGGUUUUAUUCUAACUAAAGUGAUUGGAUUUCCUACUGUGGCCAUGGAAUGAAGGGAACUAUUGUGGGUUCCUAAGAAAGAUGAACAAUUUACAAGGUCAAUUUUUCAGUUUUGUUGAACAAUGACUUCCAAACAAGAAGAGUCUGUGCUCCUUGUUUCCUCAGGCAAUGGAGGUCUUCCAGAACUUCAAGCAGUCACAGGCUGCAACAAAGGAAUCCAUUCUGCAGGCUGACAAGGCCCUCACUGCUGGGGAGAAGGCUCUAGCAGCUGAGCAGGCCAAGACAGAGGCAGUGGCAAGGAAACAGGAGCGUCUAAGGCAGACACUGAGGGAAACACAGCAAAAAAUGGAGGCUCAAGAAAGAAGCUUUAAGAAAAGCAUAGCCCUACUGAAGGAGAAGAUGAAGAUAGAAAAAGAAAAUGAAGAGAAAAAAAAAAAACCAGGAUAAAAUGGCGGAGUAUAUGCAGAGUAGUUUGCUUGCCAGUGUUCUCGAGAGUCAGCAGUUCCCAUAUGGGUAACAUGUGUGUAGCCAUCCUACUUCAGUGGAACUGAGAAAUAGAACUAAACCUCCAUCCCUCCCAAAGAACAUCUCUAGGACUGAAACACAUUCCUGGCACAGUUGUCAGACCUGACCCAGACCCAAGCCCUCUCCACCCUCAGUGGGAUCCUGCUAAGGACACAUCGGAAGAAACAAACUCCUACGACCAUGUCUAAAGGUUGAAGAGUUAUUGAAGAAACACCAGAAGAAAGAGAUGCAAAAUAAGAUUGAAGUGCAAAGUAUAAAGGCUGAAUCUGAAGCAACUACAAGAAAAAUAUUGGAGGAAGUACAAAAAAAGAAUGAACAGAGGUGGAAAGAGACAGAAAAGAAUUAUCAGGAACAUGUGAAAAGACUUGAAGAGAUGGAGAAGGGAAGAGCAGAGGAAGCAUGGAAUGCAAAACAUAAACUUCAGGAAUGUAAGCGGGAAAAUGAGCAGGAACGUGAGCAGCUUCUCGAGAAGAACAAGGAACUUAAGUCAAACAGUUGCCUCUUAACUGAAAUUGAAAACAUGAUGUUUGCAUUAUUUUUUGUUUUGUUAGUCCUCACCCUACAAUAUUUUUUCCAUUGAUUUUUAGAGAAAGCAGAACUAAGGGGGACAGGUGGAGAGAGAAACAUCAAUGUGUCUGUGAGCCAGUGCUCUAUCCACUGAGCCAAACUAAAUAGGGCUGAUGCUUGCAAUUUUGUUGAACCAUAAAGUUUUCAAAGAAGAAAUAAACUGUUAAGACAAUGUUUGUUUUUCUAUAAAGUGAUUCAGUUCGUGUUUAAUUAUAGGAAGAGUGAUUAGCAUGAUUCUAUCGGGAUUCAAUAUUUGAAAUCAGGCAUAUUUAAUGUGUCUAGAGACACAUUAAGUUGUAUAAUGGGAUCAUUUUACAAUGAGGAGAUAUCAGGCGGCUUAUGUUCAGGAUAGACUUGUUCUCCCUCACAUACCUCACCCCACUAGACAUCCUCAGUCCUAUACUAUUGCUCAAGGGUUUUCUUUGGUUUGGGGAUAGGGUUGGGGUAUUGUGAA